rnacentral:sRNA from 1 species
UAACCGUUGCCUUUUGUCCCUGAGCAACGCGAAGCGGUGGUGUUAUUGGAGAUCCCUCCUGAAGAUGCCUCCUACUGUCUAACAGAGAGAGGAGAGUUCAGGCAGGGGAAUCGGCCCGUUCGCGUUCAGAUUCGCUGGCUGCGAUCAAUGAGGCCAAAAUUCCUGAAACCUAUUCACAACAUGGAGCGUUGGUGCGGAACAACAUAAUCCCAUGCCCUAACCAGCGAACGCUUCAUCACAAGAGGGCGGUUUGUAUCUAGUACUAGUACAAGAUAAAACCAACCCCAGGAGACGUACCGCGUUCUGAGAUACAAAUUCGUCUCAGCUUGAGUUUAUGGCGGGUUCUUUGAGGUUAGACAGUUCGAUGACAAAGUCCUACUUAUGCUUUUUCCGCUGUUCCCAUCUCAACGGCUCUUGACUGCAACCUCUCAAAGCUGCUCUUUGUUGGGGCUUAACAUAUGAACCGUUUGACUCUUGUUUGACUCUUGACGUCGAACGGUAUCAUCAUAAGAGACACAGCCACACCUCGUUAUAACCCCGUACCUUCCAGAUCACCGUCAUGCUCAGCACAUCCAUUUCAAAUCCUCUCAGACUUCCACCUUGAAAAGUCCCCUGCAUACUCCUUCUUCGACAUUCCUGCGCGGGCGCCACACCUCGCACUCCCAGGCGACGUGGGGAACGCCUGUGAUUCAGACUUCUUCGUCUUCAUUGAGACCCAGCUUCAGAACUUUAAGACGGUCUACUUCCUCCUGGGUAAUCAUGAGCCGUAUCAUUCUAGCUGGAAGGAAGUCCGGCAGAAGGCUGAUGAGUUUGCGGCACUGGUGAAGCAAAGGUUGUUGUUCGGGGUCCGAGUCUAGGAUAGGAGAGUUUGUAUUCCUAGAUCAUGCACGAUUUGAUCUCUCUGAUAAGAUAACCGUGCUGGGAUGCGCAUUUUACACCUAUAUCACAUCCGAGCAGGAGACAGAUGUCAGUUUUGGGCUCAACGACUUCUACUGCAUUGAUGGGUGGACAGUGGCGGACCACAACACUUCGCAUACGGUGGAGCUAGUGUGGCUGAAUGAGCGAGUUGCUGUCCUUUCGACAUCUGAAUCUGAUAGGAAGAUUGUGAUAUUCACACAGCAUAUCCCCAUUACCGAUGAUUCGCGGGCGGUCGACCCAGUGCAUGUAGGGAGCACAAUUAGCUCAGGGUUCUCUAGUGAUUUGAGCGGGGAGGCGUGUUGGAAGAAUCCGAACGUGUUGUGUUUGUGAGCCUUGGGGCAUAUCCAUUUUAAUUUUGAUUUUGUAGUUGAGGAAGGGAAACGGCAAAGUAAAGCGAGUGCUUAGCAACCAGCGGGGAUAUUAUUUUAAGCAGUCUCAUGGUUUCAAUGUUGAAAACGUGGUGGAUGUCUCGUUGUAUGAUUUGCUUCAAACAAAAGGCCAU